rnacentral:snRNA from 1 species
AUAGGUGAGAUAUCAUGAUCAAGAAGGUGGUUCACCCAGGGCGAAGCUCAGCCAUUGCUUCGGUUGUGCUGACCCCUGUGAAUUCUUGACAGUGGAAAUGCAGCUGU